rnacentral:tRNA from 1 species
GCCUGGGUGGCUCAGUCGGUUAAGCAUCUGACUUCGGCUCAGGUCACGAUCUCACGGUCCGUGAGUUCGAGCCCCACGUCGGGCU